rnacentral:rRNA from 1 species
AUGAAUUCCCUCUCCAACCUCCUCGCCCCCCGCGCGCGCCCUUCCCUCCCGCUCCCGCUCCCGCUCCGCGCCGCCGCCCCGGCCACCAGCAGCGCCAGAGCGGCGGCACCGGCCCCGCGACGGUGGCGGCAGCGCGCGCGGCUGCCCUCGCCGGUCUCGGCCGUGGCGGCGGAGGCGCCCUCGGCAGCGUCGCUGAUUGAUGGCGAGGAGAAGGAGAAGGAGGAGGGGCAGUUCGACUGGCUGGACCAGUGGUACCCGCUGGCCCCCGUGUGCGACCUGGACCCCGGCGCGCCGCACGGCAAGACGGUGCUGGGCCUCCGCGUGGUGGCCUGGUACGACCGCGCCGUGGACGAGUGGCGCGUGUUCGACGACGCCUGCCCGCACCGCCUGGCGCCGCUCUCCGAGGGCCGCAUCGACGACAAGGGCCGCCUCCAGUGCGUCUACCACGGCUGGUGCUUCGACGGCCGCGGCGCCUGCCAGUUCAUCCCACAGGCCCCCGCCCUCGGCCCACCUGUGCACAAGAACAGCAAGGCGUGCGUGGCGUCGUACCCGAGCGUGGUGCAGAACAACAUCCUGUGGUUCUACCCGAGGGCCGACGAGGAGCACCGGGACGUGUUGCAGAGGAAGCGCCCGCCAUUCAUCCCGGAGAUCGACGACCCCUCCUUCGUCACCGUCUACGGCGUCAGGGACCUCCCCUACGGGUACGAUGUGCUGGUGGAGAACCUCAUGGACCCUGCCCAUGUCCCCUACGCGCACAAGGGGUUGAUGGGCAAGUUUUGCAAGAAGGAAGACCUCGGCAGAGUUGAGUUCGACAUCGAAGGCGGUGGGCCGAUAAAGAUGAAGACGAAGGAGGCGAACGUGGACGGGUUCCUGACGGAGCAGCAGGAGAACCGCGGCUACUUCCGGUACGUCGCGCCGUGCACCUUCUACGGCUCGCCGCUUCCCAGAGAGGUCGCACCGUUCGCCGUCGACGACUCGCCGCUUCCCAGUGAGGCCACGGAAGAGGAGAAGAAGAAGAAGCCCCAGUUCAUGAUGGUGUUCAUGUGCAUCCCAGUGGCGCCGGGGAAGAGCAGGGUGAUCUGGGCCUUGCCGAGGAACGUCGGCGUCUGGCUCGACAAGGUCAUACCGCGGUGGUACUACCACAUGGGCCCGAACGCCCUCUUUGACUCGGACAUGUACCUCCUCCACGUCGAGGAGCGCAACUUCGCCGCGGCCGGCGUCGAAAACUGGCACAAAGCCGUGUACGUGCCCACGUCGUCGGACAACAUGGUGAUCGCCUUCAGAAACUGGUUCAGAAAGCAUUGCAAGAGCCAGGUCGGCUGGGCCGUCCCCACAGCCGAUCAGCUGCCGGUGACUCCAACCAAAGACAAGCUCAUGGAGAGGUACUGGUCGCACGUGGCGCAGUGCAGGAGCUGCAGCGCGGCGUUGAAGGCCAUGAAGGCGCUGGAGGUCGCCCUGCAGUUCGCGUCGGUUGCGGUCGUCGGGUUCCUCGCCGUCGCCAAGGGGACGCUGGUGACGUCGGUCGUGCAGAGAGCCGCCGUCGUGUCCUUGGCCGUGCUGUGCUUCGGGGCGUCCCGCUGGCUGGCGAGCUUCAUCCAGAAGAACUUCUAUUUCCAUGAUUACAUCCAUGCUUACAAGUGA